UACGAGAGGCCCAAACGUUAUUCGGAUUUACUGGGCUUAAAGAGUUCGUAGGCGGCGCAGAAAGUAGGGUGUGAAAGCCCUCGGCUCAACCGAGGAAUUGCGCUCUAAACUACUGUGCUUGAGGAACCUAGAGGUGAGCAGAACUGAUGGUGGAGCGGUGAAAUGCGUUGAUAUCAUCAGGAAUACCGGAGGCGAAGGCGGCUCACUGGGGGUUUUCUGACGCUGAGGAACGAAAGCCAGGGGAGCGAACAGG
rnacentral:rRNA from 1 species